AUUGAACGCUGGCGGCAGGCCUAACACAUGCAAGUCGAGCGCGCGGAGGACGGGUGAGUAAUGUAUGGGGACUGCCCGAUAGAGGGGGAUAACUACUGGAAACGGUAGCUAAAAACGUAUCCUAUCGGAUAACACAUAUGGGAUUAGCUAGUAGGUGAGGUAAUGGCUCACCAAGGCGACGAUCCCUAGCUGGUCUGAGAGGAUGAUCAGCCACACUGGGACUGAGACACGGCCCAGACGCCUACGGAGGCAGCAGUGGGGAAUAUUGCACAAUGGACGCAAGCCUGAUGCAGCCAGGCCGCGUGUAUGAAGAAGGCCUUCGGGUUGUAAAGCACUUUCAGUCGGGAGGCGUUACCGAAAGAAGAAGCACCGGCUAACUCCGUGCCAGCAGCCGCGGUAAUAC
rnacentral:rRNA from 1 species